rnacentral:rRNA from 1 species
AACGAACGCUGGCGGCAUGCCUAACACAUGCAAGUCGAACGGGUCCUUCGGGUUUAGUGCCGCAUGGGUGCGUAGCGCGUGGGAACCUGCCCUGAGAUUCGCCUUAACUUCCCGAAUGGGGUGCUGAUACCGGAUAUUGUCUUCGGACCGUAGUUUGAUCGCCUUUGGUGGGGCCGGCGUUGUAUUAGCUAGUUGGUAGGGUAAAAGCCUACCAAGGGGUCGAUGCAUAACUGGUCUGAGAGGAUGAUCAGCCACACUGGGAGUGAGACACGGCCCAGACUCCUACGGGAGGCAGGAGUGGGGAAUAUUGCACAGUCGGCGAAAGCCUGAUGGAGCAAUGCCGGGUGAGUGAUGAAGGCCUUGGGGUUGUAAAGCUCGUUUAUCCGGGAGGGUUAUGACGGUACCGGGAGAAUAAGCGCCGGCUAACUCCGUG